rnacentral:rRNA from 1 species
GACGAACGCUGGCGGCGUGCUUAACACAUGCAAGUCGAACGGAAAGGCCCUGCUUUUGUGGGGUGCUCGAGUGGCGAACGGGUGAGUAACAUGGGAGUAACCUGCCCUUGACUUUGGGAUAACUGCAGGAAACUGGGGCUAAUACCGGAGAGGAGCUCCUGCUGCAUGGUGGGGGUUGGAAAGCUUCGGCGGUUGGGGAUGGACUCGGGGCUUAUCAGCUUGUUGGUGGGGUAGUGGCCUACCAAGGCUUUGACGGGUAGCCGGCCUGAGAGGGUGACCGGCCACAAUGGGACUGAGAUACGGCCCAGACUCCUACGGGAGGCAGCAGUGGGGAGUAUUGCACAAUGGGCGGAAGCCUGAUGCAGAGGCGCCGCGUGCGGGAUGCCGGCCUUCGGGUUGUAAACCGCUUUCGCCUGUGACGAAGCGUGAGUGACGGUAAUGGGUAAAGAAGCACCGGCUAACUACGUG